GGGGGAUAUUGCGCAAUGGGGGCAACCCUGACGCAGCAACGCCGCGUGAAGGAUGAAGGUUUUCGGAUUGUAAACUUCUUUUAUUAAGGACGAAACUUGACGGUACUUAAUGAAUAAGCUCCGGCUAACUACGUGCCAGCAGCCGCGGUAAUACGUAGGGAGCAAGCGUUGUCCGGAUUUACUGGGUGUAAAGGGUGCGUAGGCGGCUUUGCAAGUCAGAUGUGAAAUCUAUGGGCUCAACCCAUAAACUGCAUUUGAAACUGUAGAGCUUGAGUGAAGUAGAGGCAGGCGGAAUUCCCCGUGUAACGGUGAAAUGCGUAGAGAUGGGGAGGAACACCAGUGGCGAAGGCGGCCUGCUGGGCUUUAACUGACGCUGAGGCACGAAAGCGUGGGUAGCAAACAGGAUUAGAUACCCUGGUAGUCCACGCUGUAAACGAUGAUUACUAGGUGUGGGGGGUCUGACCCCUUCCGUGCCGGAGUUAACACAAUAAGUAAUCCACCUGGGGAGUACGGCCGCAAGGUUGAAACUCAAAGGAAUUGACGGGGGCCCGCACAAGCAGUGGAGUAUGUGGUUUAAUUCGAAGCAACGCGAAGAACCUUACCAGGUCUUGACAUCCAACUAACGAAGUAGAGAUACAUUAGGUGCCCUUCGGGGAAAGUUGAGACAGGUGGUGCAUGGUUGUCGUCAGCUCGUGUCGUGAGAUGUUGGGUUAAGUCCCGCAACGAGCGCAACCCUUGCUAUUAGUUGCUACGCAAGAGCACUCUAAUAGGACUGCCGUUGACAAAACGGAGGAAGGUGGGGACGACGUCAAAUCAUCAUGCCCCUUAUGACCUGGGCUACACACGUACUACAAUGGAUGUUAACAGAGGGAAGCAAGACAGCGAUGUGGAGCAAACCCCUAAAAACAUUCUCAGUUCAGAUUGCAGGCUGCAACCCGCCUGCAUGAAGAUGGAAUUGCUAGUAAUCGCGGAUCAGCAUGCCGCGGUGAAUACGUUCCCG
rnacentral:rRNA from 1 species